UGUUGAGCUGCCAUCUUUUCAGAGGUGUUGAAACUGCUGCUGCACCACCUGUCCAGGUAGGCGAGGGUCCCUUUUCCUUUGAGGAGGUGUCCAUCUAUUUCACGGAGGCAGAAUGGGCCCUGCUGGAUCCAGGACAAAGAGCUCUGUACAAGGAUGUUAUGUUGGAGAAUUACGGGAAUGUGGCCUUUCUGGCAAAAGAUGAUCAGAGGAAUGAGGAGGGUGAGGAAUUUCAUCAGCAAAUGCCAGAGAGAGAUAAAAAUGAAACCUUAAAGGAAAACGUCACGAAUCGAAGCAGAGCAAAGAGAAAUAAAGGUG